UUAAGUGAGAAAGCGUACAGGGCGGAUGCCUUGGCAAUCAGAGGCGAUGAAGGACGUGCUAAUCUGCGAAAAGCGUGGGUGAGUUGAUAAGAAGCGUUUAACCCACGAUGUCCGAAUGGGGAAACCCGAUAGGUGAAGAACCUAUCAUUGUUUACUGAAUAAAAUAGGUAAACAAGGCGAACCGGGAGAACUGAAACAUCUAAGUACCCCGAGGAAAAGAAAUCAACCGAGAUUCUGUGAGUAGCGGCGAGCGAAAGCGGAGUAGCCAGUAAGUGAUAGCAUGUGAUUUAGGAGAAUUAGCUGGGAAGCUAAGCGACACAGGGUGAUAGCCCCGUAUCUGAAAGAUUGCGUGUGGUACUAAGUUUACGAGAAGUAGGGCGGGACACGAGGAAUCCUGUUUGAAGAUGGGGGGACCAUCCUCCAAGGCUAAAUACUCCUGAUUGACCGAUAGUGAACCAGUACUGUGAAGGAAAGGCGAAAAGAACCCCGGUGAGGGGAGUGAAAUAGAACCUGAAACCCUGUACGUACAAGCAGUGGGAGCCCGCAAGGGUGACUGCGUACCUUUUGUAUAAUGGGUCAGCGACUUAUAUUUUGUAGCGAGGUUAACUGAAUAAGGGAGCCGAAGGGAAACCGAGUCUUAACUGGGCGUUGAGUUGCAAGGUAUAGACCCGAAACCCGGUGAUCUAGCCAUGGGCAGGUUGAAGGUUGGGUAACACUAACUGGAGGACCGAACCGACUAAUGUUGAAAAAUUAGCGGAUGACUUGUGGCUGGGGGUGAAAGGCCAAUCAAACCGGGAGAUAGCUGGUUCUCCCCGAAAUCUAUUUAGGUAGAGCCUUGAGCGGACACCUUUGGGGGUAGAGCACUGUUUCGGCUAGGGGCCCAUCCCGGGUUACCAAACCGAUGCAAACUCCGAAUACCGAAGAGUGAUACUCAGGAGACACACGGCGGGUGCUAACGUCCGUCGUGGAGAGGGAAACAACCCAGACCGCCAGCUAAGGUCCCAAAAUCUAUAUUAAGUGGGAAACGAAGUGGGAAGGCUUAGACAGCUAGGAUGUUGGCUUAGAAGCAGCCAUCAUUUAAAGAAAGCGUAAUAGCUCACUAGUCGAGUCGGCCUGCGCGGAAGAUGUAACGGGGCUAAAAUAUAGUACCGAAGCUGCGGCAUCAGGCGUAUCACUAAUACGCCUUAACGAUUAACCACUUGCGAAGCAAGUGGGUAAAGCGAAAAACACGUUGAGUGUAAUGGCAAAGAAUCGAAGAGGGAUAUUAGUGAUACGCCUGUUGGGUAGGGGAGCGUUGUGUAAGCGGAAGAAGGUGAUUUGAGAGGAUUGCUGGACGUAUCACAAGUGCGAAUGCUGACAUAAGUAACGAUAAAACGGGUGAAAAACCCGUUCGCCGGAAGACCAAGGGUUCCUGUCCAACGUUAAUCGGGGCAGGGUGAGUCGGCCCCUAAGGCGAGGCUGAAAAGCGUAGUCGAUGGGAAACGGGUUAAUAUUCCCGUACUUGGAUAAACUGCGAUGUGGGGACGGAGUAGGUUAGGUUAGCGUACUGUUGGAGAUGUACGUUUAAGUUGGUAGGUGGGUGGACUAGGCAAAUCCGGUUCACUGUAAACACUGAGAGAUGAUGACGAGGCACUAAGGUGCUGAAGUAAUUGAUACCACACUUCCAGGAAAAGCCACUAAGCUUCAGGUUUAUCUAAACCGUACUGAAAACCGACACAGGUGGUCAGGUAGAGAAUACUCAGGCGCUUGAGAGAACUCGGGUGAAGGAACUAGGCAAAAUAGCACCGUAACUUCGGGAGAAGGUGCGCUGGCGUAGUGUGAAGUUCUUUGCGAAUGGAGCAUGAACCAGUCGAAGAUACCAGCUGGCUGCAACUGUUUAUUAAAAACACAGCACUCUGCAAACACGAAAGUGGACGUAUAGGGUGUGAUGCCUGCCCGGUGCUGGAAGGUUAAUUGAUGGUGUAAUCGAAAGAGAAGCUCCUGAUCGAAGCCCCAGUAAACGGCGGCCGUAACUAUAACGGUCCUAAGGUAGCGAAAUUCCUUGUCGGGUAAGUUCCGACCUGCACGAAUGGCAUAAUGAUGGCCAGGCUGUCUCCACCCGAGACUCAGUGAAAUUGAAAUCGCCGUGAAGAUGCGGUGUACCCGCGGCUAGACGGAAAGACCCCGUGAACCUUUACUAUAGCUUGACACUGAACCUUGAAUUUUGAUGUGUAGGAUAGGUGGGAGACUAUGAAGCGGUAACGCCAGUUAUCGUGGAGUCGUUGUUGAAAUACCACCCUUUAACGUUUGAUGUUCUAACGAAGCGCCUGAAACGGGUGUUCGGACAGUGUCUGGUGGGUAGUUUGACUGGGGCGGUCUCCUCCCAAAGCGUAACGGAGGAGCACGAAGGUUUGCUAAUGACGGUCGGACAUCGUCAGGUUAGUGCAAUGGUAUAAGCAAGCUUAACUGCGAGACAGACAAGUCGAGCAGGUGCGAAAGCAGGUCAUAGUGAUCCGGUGGUUCUGAAUGGAAGGGCCAUCGCUCAACGGAUAAAAGGUACUCCGGGGAUAACAGGCUGAUACCGCCCAAGAGUUCAUAUCGACGGCGGUGUUUGGCACCUCGAUGUCGGCUCAUCACAUCCUGGGGCUGAAGUAGGUCCCAAGGGUAUGGCUGUUCGCCAUUUAAAGUGGUACGCGAGCUGGGUUUAGAACGUCGUGAGACAGUUCGGUCCCUAUCUGCCGUGGGCGUUGGAGAAUUGAGAGGGGCUGCUCCUAGUACGAGAGGACCGGAGUGGACGCAUCACUGGUGUACCAGUUGUCUCGCCAGAGGCAUUGCUGGGUAGCUAAAUGCGGAAGAGAUAAGUGCUGAAAGCAUCUAAGCACGAAACUUGCCUUGAGAUGAGUUCUCCCAGUCUAUAAGACUGUAAGGGUUGUUUGAGACUAAGACGUAGAUAGGCUGGGUGUGUAAGCGGUGUGAGCCGUUGAGCUAACCAGUACUAAUUGCCCGAGAGGCUUAACUAU
rnacentral:rRNA from 1 species